GACGAACGCUGGCGGCGUGCUUAACACAUGCCAGUCGAACGGAAAGGCCCUGCUUGCAGGGUACUCGAGUGGCGAACGGGUGAGUAACACGUGGGUGAUCUGCCCUGCACUUCGGGAUAAGCUUGGGAAACUGGGUCUAAUACCGGAUAGGAACCAUCUUUAGUGUGGUGGUUGGAAAGUUUUUUCGGUGUAGGAUGAGCUCGCGGCCUAUCAGCUUGUUGGUGGGGUAAUGGCCUACCAAGGCGGCGACGGGUAGCCGGCCUGAGAGGGUGUACGGCCACAUUGGGACUGAGAUACGGCCCAGACUCCUACGGGAGGCAGCAGUGGGGAAUAUUGCACAAUGGGCGCAAGCCUGAUGCAGCGACGCCGCGUGGGGGAUGAAGGCCUUCGGGUUGUAAACUCCUGUCGCUAGGGACGAAGCUUUGUUGUGACGGUACCUAGAUAAGAAGCACCGGCUAACUACGUG
rnacentral:rRNA from 1 species